AGGCAUUGAAGUAAUAUGCCGUGUCGGAAUGCGGUAUAUUAUGGAGCCAGCUUGUGGGUUGUGCGAUAACCACAAACCCAAUAGGUCAUUUGACUGAACGAAAACGCCUACG
rnacentral:sRNA from 12 species